rnacentral:lncRNA from 1 species
GCAAGUACAUAUCUAAAGUAGAUCUGAAAGAAAAAAUCAAAAAUCCUAAAGAUUACAGUUUCGAAAAACCCAAAAAGGUAAGAAAGGCUUUGAAAAUUAACGAUCUAACCAGGAGAGUCAAGAAUCAUACUCUAAUGGCCACGGCUAGCUAGAGAAACGUCAGGGAUGACCAAAGAAAGGACAUGAACGAAAGUCUAGCAAUGACUGGACCAACUCCUUCGAGAUCUGGCCAUGAAACUACAUAAAACAAAUACCCAGGAGCCAUUGGAGGCAAUUACACAUCUCCAAUGGCCAUGGGAGGCCAUGGAUUAGGCAGGGUUUCGAGUAGAUUAGGGUGGGAUUGGAUGGUGGCGGCUAGGGUUCAUGAGAGCUUCAGAGAGAGAUGAGAGAGAAGAG